GAUAGUAAAUGUCACUGCCCAGCUCAUCUCAAUUCCAGAGCCCCUCCCAGGGCCUGAGAGGACCAUGGUCAUUUCCACUGCAGUGACAUUUGUGGAUGUGUCAGCCCCUGCAGAGGCAGGCUUCCGAGCCCCACCCACCAUCAAUGCCAGGCUGCCCUUCAGCUUCUUCUUCCCAUUUGUAUGAUGAGGUGGCCCCCACACGGGCGUAGGGCAUGGACACGGAGGAGACAGCUGUGGCCAUGAAGAUUUGUCCCCAGCAUCCAGGAGUGCAAGCCAAGGCAGAGAUGGGUGGGGACUGGACCUCAAACCACACAGUUGCUCUCUGGACACAGCCCAGCUCUGGAUGGAGCUUCUGGAAGGCUUAGUUCACGUUCACGUCCUCAAGAAGUCCGUUCUGUCUCAACAGCUUGCUCAGUCGCUCAAUUUCUUGUUCCUAUUGUAAAAGCAAACGCACACAGGGUGAUGACCUUCUGAGCUACAUUUCCCCCAGGCCCAGGGCUGCAGAUAGCUAGAAGCUACAGUCUGUGGCAUUCUGGCUGCUGAAGGAAACCCCUUUCAGGAAGGGCCCUGGGCAGUGAUAGCAGGAGCAAGAUGCCCAGAGGAGGGACUGGACCUGGCUCUUGAAGCCCAUACUGAAGCUGAAAAGACCAAGAAGAGGGAGCUACAUGUCAGCAUG
rnacentral:lncRNA from 1 species